GAAGUCCGGUCCGGGAAGGGGGUAGCGCCCGCCCGGUAGCGAGUGUUGCGGGACCAUCGGUGACGAUGGUCUUGAAGCGUACACAGCGAGACGACGAGGACUGUAUUGAGCUUCGAAAGCUUCUUACCGUGGAGGCCGAGGCGUUACAAACCGCAGCAGGCAACAUGUGCGGGACCGUUCUGCGAGGGACCGUCGCUCCACCGGAGUCUGAGACCA
rfam:Skermanella aerolata KACC 11604 strain 5416T-32 contig128, whole genome shotgun sequence.